rnacentral:rRNA from 1 species
ACGCACGCUGGCGGCGUGCUUCACACAUGCAAGUCGCACGGAAAGGCCCUGCUUUUGUGGGGUGCUCGAGUGGCGAACGGGAGAGUAACACGUGAGUAACCUGCCCUUGACUUUGGGAUAACUUCAGGAAACUGGGGCUAAUACCGGAUAGGAGCUCCUGCUGCAUGGUGGGGGUUGGAAAGUUUCGGCGGUUGGGGAUGGACUCGCGGCUUAUCAGCUUGUUGGUGGGGUAGUGGCUUACCAAGGCUUUGACGGGUAGCCGGCCUGAGAGGGUGACCGGCCACAUUGGGACUGAGAUACGGCCCAGACUCCUACGGGAGGCAGCAGUGGGGAAUAUUGCACAAUGGGCGGAAGCCUGAUGCAGCAACGCCGCGUGCGGGAUGACGGCCUUCGGGUUGUAAACCGCUUUCGCCUGUGACGAAGCGUGAGUGACGGUAAUGGGUAAAGAAGCACCGGCUAACUACGUG